rnacentral:rRNA from 1 species
UACGUAGGUGGCAAGCGUUGUCCGGAAUUAUUGGGCGUAAAGCGCGCGCAGGUGGUUCUUUAAGUCUGAUGUGAAAGCCCCCGGCUCAACCGGGGAGGGUCACGCGAUACUGGUCGACUCGAAGGCAGGAGAGGGUAGUGGAAUUCCCGGUGUAGUGGUGAAAUGCGUAGAUAUCGGGAGGAACACCAGUGGCGAAGGCGACUACCUGGCCUGUUCUUGACGCUGAGGCGCGAAAGCUAGGGGAGCAAACGGG